GUUUUUAUAGUUGAAAUACAACGAUGGUUUUUCAUAUCAUUAAUCAUGGUUAGAGUCCAUGUGGAAACA
rnacentral:tRNA from 5 species